rnacentral:rRNA from 1 species
AGUAGUUUGACUCCGUGGCUCAGGACGACGCUGGCGGCGUGCCUAACACAUGCAAGUCGAACGGAGAUACACGCUGAAGUGAGAGCAGCUUGCUGAAGGAUCUUCUUGUGUAUCUUAGUGGCGGACGGGUGAGUAACGCGUGAGCAACCUGCCUUUCAGAGGGGGAUAACGUUUGGAAACGAACGCUAAUACCGCAUGAGACUACGGUACCGCAUGGUAGAGUGGUCAAAGGAGCAAUCCGCUGAAAGAUGGGCUCGCGUCCGAUUAGAUAGUUGGCGGGAUAGAGGCCCACCAAGUCGACGAUCGGUAGCCGGACUGAGAGGUUGAACGGCCACAUUGGGACUGAGACACGGCCCAGACUCC